rnacentral:miRNA from 1 species
UUGUGUGGUUUUGGAUGUCUG